UACGAUGAAGAGUUUGAUCCUGGCUCAGGAUGAACGCUAGCGGCAGGCUUAACACAUGCAAGUCGAGGGGUAGGUUACUUCGGUAAUUGAGACCGGCGCACGGGUGCGUAACGCGUAUACAAUCUACCUUUUACAGAGGGAUAGCCCAGAGAAAUUUGGAUUAAUACCUCAUAGUAUUUUUGAAUCGCAUGAUUUGAUUAUUAAAGUUCCAACGGUAAAAGAUGAGUAUGCGUCCCAUUAGCUAGAUGGUAAGGUAACGGCUUACCAU
rnacentral:rRNA from 1 species